GCGGUGGUAAGUUUUUAGUAACUUUCUGGUAAGUUAAAAAAGUAAAUGUUAUAACUCACACAAAUUUGACCUAAAGUUUACUAUUCAAUGCAAUAGUCUUCUGAUAUGAUGCAUUUGGGUGAUCGAAGCACUACAGAUGGCCAGUGGGGAUGGAUCAUUACACAUUGGCAAUCAAUAUGAAUGAUUCUACACAAGUAUGCGUAAUGUUCUUUUUUUUCUACAGACCACAAAAAGCAAACACUGCAUCUGUAUUAUUUGUAUACUUCCCAGAAAAGUUACUUAAAGCUCAGACAGUAACACAAUAGUCUUAUGUGCUGUCAUUAUGGGCAAUGGUCUCAAAAUACCUCACAUUGUUUAGCGUGCCAGCCAAAAGGUAAGACAAGAGCCAUUUCUUCUCCUGUUUAUAUUAUAUUACUUUUUUAUUUACAGGAAAUGCAUUGAAAGCUAUUUUUCUAGUGUGCAAACGUGACAGAACACAGAAACACAGUGAGUUUUAAUUGAUGAGGUCAGGUGCAAAUAGCCGAAUGAGACCAUGCCAUAGUCAAAAUAUCAACGCGCUUGUUCAGCUAACUCAAAGACGCAACGUGAACUCAAAGACGCAGGAGAGGCGCUUCCCAGCCCAGGCGUUUUCAUGCUAUUUUUGUGUCACCCUCCCAUCUGUACUGGCAACACUUUGUGACUGCUCACUGUUUUUUUUCCAUAUCACCAAGAAAUUCCUCACCCGUUUUUGUGACCUUCAAAAAGCAUCGUCUUUGGUUUAAACGUAACCGCGGUCCAAAACGCGGGUGAGGUGCGCACAACGUUAAAAGCCGGCAAACAGUGCAAUGCGUCUCUUCUAGGGCAGCGGCAUAAAGACGGCAGCCAUGUUGACUAGCAUGAAUAGGAACUGUGAAAAGCCGAACACAAGAAAAGGACCCACAUACUGUCGGCCUCUCGCCAAGGUAACACCGCUCCAGGCUGUCGUUUUGCUUGCCUGAUAAGAAAUACGACCAGCCACGGCGCGCUAGACACAACCACGCAGCUUUACAAUUUUGGAAUGCGAUUCAUUGACAACUAUCCGAUUCGCGGUCCAUGCAGGUGUAAAACACAACUCCGACGGCAACUUAUUAACAUCCAGUUGAGACAGAACGUAUUUGAUCAAUGAAACGUGCUAAACAUAGCAGUAGUGCUAAGCUAUGACUUCAUUGCUAGAGUUCCUUGCUUGUAACCCUAUGACAUACACCCUGAGCCAUUACUCUUGCCCAGUUGGAUCCAAGCUAUUUGACUCUUGAAGUAGCAAGAGAGGUGAAAGUAGAGUGGUCCAUUAUCACCUGAGAAAAGAGAGAUGCGCAGGUCUCAGGGCUUCAAUGGGCAGUCUUCAGGGAGCAUCAUUACUGAUUUCAACACUGAAGGGACUUAUUCCCCAGUGACCUCACAAGGCGCCUGCCUGCCAUAUGCUUUUGACCACCAGGGAGGAAAACGAUGCCUCUGUUAAUCCCUUUGGAAAGGAAUUUUAUUGUGCCACUGUAGCCUGGAUGCAACUAUGAGACAGGUGUCCCUCUCAGCAUCUUCCCAUGGCGGAAAAAAGGAUUACUGGCACGAGGUAGUCUCCUAUUGGACUGCCAUUAAAGAGGACCAGGUUCUAUUGUCAGAGAGCGAUGCGGUCGUCUCACCUGAGAGUUGGGCUGUAGGCCGAUGUGUGGGGUGGAGCUCUUCUGGAGGUU